rnacentral:rRNA from 1 species
CCUACGGGAGGCAGCAGUAGGGAAUAUUGGGCAAUGGGCGGAAGCCUGACCCAGCCACGCCGCGUGCAGGAAGACGGCCCUCUGGGUUGUAAACUGCUUUUAACUGGGAAGAAAGCAGCUCAUGCGUGAGAAUUUGACGGUACCAGUUGAAUAAGCCACGGCUAACUACGUGCCAGCAGCCGCGGUAAUACGUAGGUGGCGAGCGUUAUCCGGAUUUAUUGGGUUUAAAGGGAGCGUAGGCGGCUGAUUAAGUCAGCGGUGAAAGGUAGCAGCUUAACUGUUUUACAUGCCGUUGAUACUGGUUAGCUUGAGUUGACAGAAGGCAGAUAGAAUUCCUGAUGUAGCGGUGAAAUGCUUAGAUAUCAGGAGGAAUACCGAUUGCGAAGGCAGUCUGCUGCAGUCACACUGACGCUGAGGCUCGAAGGUGCGGGGAUCAAACAGGAUUAGAUACCCUGGUAGUCCGCACAGUAAACGAUGAUUACUAGAUGUUGGCUAUGCCAGUGUCCAAGGGAAACCGAUAAGUAAUCCAACCUGGGGAGUUAGCGGCAACGGUUGAAACGUUCAAAUUGAAUUGACGGCGNGAGAGNGCGAGCGACGACGAGGAGGAGG